rnacentral:rRNA from 1 species
UACGAAGGGAGCUAGCGUUGUUCGGAAUCACUGGGCGUAAAGCGCACGUAGGCGGAUGUGUCAGUCAGGGGUGAAAUCCCGGAGCUCAACUUCGGAACUGCCUUUGAUACAGCACGUCUUGAGUCCGAUAGAGGUGGGUGGAAUUCCUAGUGUAGAGGUGAAAUUCGUAGAUAUUAGGAAGAACACCGGUGGACGAAGGCGGC